GACGUACCUUACCGAGAAUAUAUAUAGCAGUAUUUUAUUGAAUCUGUUCAACCGUGUAGGCUUUCUGAUGAAUGUUGUUGUUAAUUGCAUUCUAUUGCGACAUAGUGGGGAUUCCUGUGCACUGGAUAUAUAAUGAUUUAAUAUAGAGCUGCUCUACAUUACACAACGUGUGACUAGUAAUAACAGUAGACUCUACAGUGCAUGAGUAUAGCGUAAGAGUCGCUCAGUUUGCAGUCUCUUCGCUGGUUGCAAAGCCAAACAGUUUGUCGGAAAUCAGGUUAUUCUAUCCUGUCUGUUCAGACUCUGGGAGUGUGAGGACGACCUGCCAGAGAUAUUCCGCAUUAUUACUGACCUUGCAUAUCAAACUGUCGAGAUUGGAUCAAAGAUGCCUGUGAAAGAGGAUACCAUGGUAACGAAUGCCAUGAGCGCCACCAAUACUAUGGAUGCCAAUACUGGAAGACAGAACGCUAGGAAUCAACAGAUGACCCAUUCAUCGAGACACCGUGAAGGAGAAAGAAUUAGCAAUGAUAACAUCCAACUUACAAGACAUAAAUCAGACACGAAGAACGAACAGACAAGCGCCAGCUACGGUGUAUGGGGACCAGUCUUAAAAUCAAGGCGUGAUUUCGUUGAUAUGCAUCUGUUUUGAUAAAGAUGAGGAGACUAAAAAAAAGAGAUACCAAGACUCUUGUGAUGAAUAAACAAAAAUGAUUAAAAUGCUGUAAAUUCUUCAGUUCAUUUGACUCCUUUGCCAAAUAUUGAAAGAGGAGAUGAAGUUACAAAUUGUUGCUAAGUAUGGAUGCCACAACGUGAUUGAUAAUGGAUGCAUAUAAUUACGGACCUAAGAAUAUCGACGCUCGUUAGCAGGCUCGCAUAAUCUAGAGCCAUUUUCAUAUACAUGUAUAUUUAUAAUCAAAACUUUAUUGUACUACGCCGAAUUGCCGAAUGAGAGGAAAGACGAACAGAAAAAAAUCAGAUCGAACUUAAUCACAAAUGAUUUUGAAGAACAUCAUCCUUUACUCAUAGAUCACUUGACUGGCUUGCUUCUCCGAGAUCGCGACAUCUUCAAAGAUUAUUUCAUGCCUUUAUGGGUGACUCUGGACAAAAUGUAUAUUGCUUUACCAAUAAGUGAUAAAAUAUGGGACAUGCGCAUAUUAAUAUAUUGAUCAUUUUACAUUUUGAAGUACUUGAAAGUGUAAUAUUGUUUUAAAACUAUUUAAAAAAUAUAGACGUAUGAUUGUACAAGGUUUUAAGAUUUUAAAUGUUAUUAAAUAUUUUAAACAAUCUAAUACAUAAAACCUUAUGAAUUCAAUCUUUUAAAAGAAGUCCUGUAAGCAAACUAAAUGAUUUUCACUUCUUUGUUGUGUGUAUUGAGAGAAAUACUAGUGCUUCACCGUAUUGAUGGACCAUAGAAUUAUACACUGGUGAUCCAUGUGAUUAUUGCAAGCCAAAGAUACGUAUUAUUAUAUUAUUUUGUGAGUGAGGCAUAGUAUUAGUUAUUUUUGCAUGCUACUGAGUACGUCGAGUUCAAGUCUGAAAAAUAACAUUCAAUUUUCUUUUUAUUAUUGUGAACCCGAUAAUUUGUUUCAUCCGUUUUUAGUAGGAAUUCACUACAAAUUACAAGUGAGAACGAUCACAUUAUUGAGGGGUAAAGUAUUGCAUUACUAAAUCUUAAACUUAACCUCAUUUGGGCACAUUCCAAUAUUUCCGAAAGCGGCUCAGUAAAAGCCUUGAUAAAUGUAAGUCCGAUCAUUUAUUGAGUACUGAUCAUUGAUCCAAUCCCUUCAUAUUUUUAUCUGUAUUUUGAAUGAUAAAUAAUCAAAAGGGUAUAUGCUUUAAUGACGUCAUGACGAAAUUUUGAAUAUAUACGAACGGGCUAGGUUGACCCCUAGUGACCCUCUUUGAUCCAUGAUGGAGUGAGCUGUAGCUUCACCCACCUGGUCAAAGUUUGAUCUGCUAUCGAAAAUACGAACUUGGGGUGUUUAUCAUCAUUUUUCUCUCAAUCUACUUAAUUUUUACCUUUAAAAUGCAUUCUUUUUCUAUUCUUGUAUUAGUGUUUUAUGGACUUUUGUCUUGAGAAUUAUAAAAUAUUGCAAAGCUUGAGUCGCUGAUUCAAAACGUGAUUUAAAUAGGAUGGAAUUUUGAGAAACAGUUUUUAUUUACAAUAAUAUUCAAAUAGAAAUGACUGCUACAGAUAUGACUGCCGAGGAAAAUCAUUCAAAUCAUUCGAUAUGGAUGAAAGUGGGCGGGUACUAUCGGAGACCGAGGGAUGUUUGCUGCCUUUUUUCUUUUUUACAUGAAAUGUACUUCAUUUUUAUAAGACGAGGUAUUGAACUGAUGUAGUUUUUUUUAAUAUAUGUGUACAUUUCUAGAAUUUCUAAUUUGUGUAAUCUUUGUCUUGUAAUCUAUGAAGUGUAAUCUAUGAAAUGUAAUCUAUGGUGUCUACUGUCUAGCUUACCGCAGUGUUGAGUUCCAUCGUACCGUCGAUCAACAAAGAUUAUUGGCUUGAAGAAACAGCGCCACCUAUGCUCAAAAUUGUAAAAUUCUGAUGAAUACGUUUAUCCUUCCCCGACAUUAUCAUGUUCAGGGAAGUUGUCACAUAUCAUCCCCCCCCCCCCCUUUUUUUAGUUGGGGGGGGGGGGGUGAUCGGAUAACAAAUUGCCGACAAUUUUUCCUUCAACAAAGAAAUAAAAUAUUCCUCGAAAAAUUAAAUAAAUUUGCGUGAAACGCUUACAGAUGGCCUGUCAGAUUUUCACGUAAGUGGGUAGAUGUUAAAAAAUA